AGCUCCAGUAGCGUAUAUUAAAGUUGUUGCAGUUAAAAAGCUCGUAGUUGGAUUUCUGAUUGACCACCCUGGCCCGCGGCUAUCCGGUCGUGAGUGCUGGUGUGAGUCUGUCAUCCUUCUAGUGAGCCAUGCCUGCUGUUCACUCAGCUGGGCGUGUGCGAACUAGAUCAUUUACUUUGAAAAAAUUAGAGUGUUUAAAGCAGGCUUAUGCUGUGAAUACAUUAGCAUGGAAUAAUAAUAUAGGACUUCGGUUCUAUUUUGUUGGUUUCUAGGACUGAAGUAAUGAUUGAUAGGGAUAGUUGGGGGUGCUAGUAUUCAGCGGCCAGAGGUGAAAUUCUUGGAUUCGCUGAAGACUAACUACUGCGAAAGCAUUCACCAAGGAUGUCUUCU
rnacentral:rRNA from 1 species